AGUGAACGCUGGCGGUAGGCCUAACACAUGCAAGUCGAACGGCAGCACAGUAAGAGCUUGCUCUUACGGGUGGCGAGUGGCGGACGGGUGAGGAAUACAUCGGAAUCUACUUUUUCGUGGGGGAUAACGUAGGGAAACUUACGCUAAUACCGCAUACGACCUACGGGUGAAAGCAGGGGAUCUUCGGACCUUGCGCGAUUGAAUGAGCCGAUGUCGGAUUAGCUGGUUGGCGGGGUAAAGGCCCACCAAGGCGACGAUCCGUAGCUGGUCUGAGAGGAUGAUCAGCCACACUGGAACUGAGACACGGUCCAGACUCCUACGGGAGGCAGCAGUGGGGAAUAUUGGUCAAUGGGCGCAAGCCUGAUCCAGCCAUACCGCGUGGGUGAAGAAGGCCUUCGGGUUGUAAAGCCCUUUUGUUGGGAAAGAAAAGCAGCAGGUUAAUACCCCGCUGUUCUGGCGGUACCCAAAGAAUAAGCACCGGCUAACUUCGUG
rnacentral:rRNA from 1 species